rnacentral:rRNA from 1 species
AUUGAACGCUUUCGGCAUGCCUUACACAUGCAAGUCGAACGGUAACGGGUCCUUCGGGAUGCCGACGAGUGGCGAACGGGUGAGUAAUAUAUCGGAACGUGCCCAGUAGUGGGGGAUAACUGCUCGAAAGAGCAGCUAAUACCGCAUACGACCUGAGGGUGAAAGGGGGGGAUCGCAAGACCUCUCGCUAUUGGAGCGGCCGAUAUCAGAUUAGCUAGUUGGUGGGGUAAAGGCCUACCAAGGCAACGAUCUGUAGUUGGUCUGAGAGGACGACCAGCCACACUGGGACUGAGACACGGCCCAGACUCCUACGGGAGGCAGCAGUGGGGAAUUUUGGACAAUGGGCGCAAGCCUGAUCCAGCAAUGCCGCGUGCAGGAAGAAGGCCUUCGGGUUGUAAACUGCUUUUGUCAGGGAAGAAAUCUUCUGGGCUAAUACCCCGGGAGGAUGACGGUACCUGAAGAAUAAGCACCGGCUAACUACGUGCCAGCAGCCGCGGUAAUACGUAGGGUGCGAGCGUUAAUCGGAAUUACUGGGCGUAAAGCGUGCGCAGGCGGCUUUGCAAGACAGAUGUGAAAUCCCCGGGCUCAACCUGGGAACUGCAUUUGUGACUGCAAGGCUAGAGUACGGCAGAGGGGGAUGGAAUUCCGCGUGUAGCAGUGAAAUGCGUAGAUAUGCGGAGGAACACCAAUGGCGAAGGCAAUCCCCUGGGCCUGUACUGACGCUCAUGCACGAAAGCGUGGGGAGCAAACAGGAUUAGAUACCCUGGUAGUCCACGCCCUAAACGAUGUCAACUGGUUGUUGGACGGCUUGCUGUUCAGUAACGAAGCUAACGCGUGAAGUUGACCGCCUGGGGAGUACGGCCGCAAGGUUGAAACUCAAAGGGAUUGACGGGGACCCGCACAAGCGGUGGAUGAUGUGGUUUAAUUCGAUGCAACGCGAAAAACCUUACCUACCCUUGACAUGUCAAGAAUUCUGCAGAGAUGUGGAAGUGCUCGAAAGAGAACUUGAACACAGGUGCUGCAUGGCCGUCGUCAGCUCGUGUCGUGAGAUGUUGGGUUAAGUCCCGCAACGAGCGCAACCCUUGUCAUUAGUUGCUACGCAAGAGCACUCUAAUGAGACUGCCGGUGACAAACCGGAGGAAGGUGGGGAUGACGUCAGGUCCUCAUGGCCCUUAUGGGUAGGGCUACACACGUCAUACAAUGGCCGGUACAGAGGGCUGCCAACCCGCGAGGGGGAGCCAAUCCCAGAAAACCGGUCGUAGUCCGGAUCGUAGUCUGCAACUCGACUGCGUGAAGUCGGAAUCGCUAGUAAUCGCGGAUCAGCUUGCCGCGGUGAAUACGUUCCCGGGUCU